rnacentral:rRNA from 1 species
UACGGGGGGGGGCAAGCGUUGUUCGGAAUUACUGGGCGUAAAGGGCGCGUAGGCGGGCUCACAAGUCAGGGGUGAAAUCCCACGGCUCAACCGUGGAAGUGCCUUUGAUACUGUGGGUCUUGAGGGAGGUAGGGGCGUGCGGAACUUCCGGUGGAGCGGUGAAAUGCGUAGAUAUCGGAAGGAACACCGGUGGCGAAAGCGGCGCGCUGGACCUCUACUGACGCUGAGGCGCGAAAGCCAGGGGAGCAA